AGAGAGAGAGAGAGAGAGAGAGAGAUGGGAAAAGUGAGGAGGAUGAAGCUAGGAUCACAAGGUCUGGAGGUGUCGGCACAGGGACUAGGAUGCGCCGGAAUGUCGUCAGGUUUCUACGGCCCUCCGAAGCCGGACGAAGAAAUGAUAAAACUAAUCCACCACGCCAUCAAUUCCGGCGUCACGUUCCUCGACACCUCCGACGUCUACGGCCCUCACAUCAACGAAAUCCUCCUCGGCAAGGCACUUAAGGGGGGGAUGAGAGAGAAAGUUCAAUUGGCUACCAAAUUUGGGAUCGUCACCUUUGACGGAAAGGAGAUGGAGGUUUGCGGCGAUCCAGCCUAUGUACGGGCUUCCUGCGAGGCCAGCUUGAAGCGGCUCGACGUUGAUUGUAUUGAUCUCUAUUACCAACAUCGGAUUGAUACCCGUGUUCCCAUUGAAACCACGAUGGGCGAACUGAAGAAACUUGUUGAAGAGGGAAAAAUCAAGUACAUUGGUCUAUCUGAGGGCUCUACUUCAAUACUGUCUGCAUCAACUAUUAGAAGGGCUCAUGCUAUUCAUCCAAUUACAGCAGUACAGAUGGAGUGGUCCUUGUGGACAAGGGAUGUGGAGGAAGAAAUAGUGCCUACUUGCAGAGAACUUGGCAUCGGGAUUGUCGCAUACACUCCAUUAGGAAGAGGAUUCUUUUCGUCAGGUCCAAAGAUUGCUGAAACUUUGCCAGCUUCUCUCUUACGAAGGGUAUAUACAUAAAUCACACACUUUUGACCUAUGGAAAUGGAAGGAAGUACAAUGUUAGAUAAUGCUUAUGCCCCCAUGAUGUUAUUGUGAAUGUUAGCAGGGUUACAAGGAUCAGUACAUAAGAUAACAUUGCGGCCAGUUAGUAUUGGAAUUUUGCACCUCUGAUAUAGAAUUCUUCAAUAUUUCGAUAAUACAUGCCUACAUGGUCGCAUCACAUAUGCAUAGAUGUCCUAAUACUGCUUUUCUAUAACAUCGAUUGACUAAAUUAGAGUCAUUUCCUCCUGGAAUUAUCCUGUUACAAUUGUUUCUUCAUGUGUCCCCUGUGCCUAUGUGAACAUAUGGGUACUUUUGCUUAUAGAUGCAUAAGUUAAGCAACACUCAUCACUUAAUGUUCUUCAAUUUUAUUGAACAACUUUGCGGUUAAAUGUUGACCAGAACUAUCGUUCUCAGCAUUGUUUCUGUGGAAUUUCUCAGUUGAACUAAAUAGGUAGCAAUACCACGAAAAGAUUUGAUUCUUUUUUACCAUACACAAAGCUUUAGUCCUUACAGGAAAAGGGAAUGGAUUUGCUGUCACUAGCAAUCUUGGUGCAUUACAAUGAAUGGUGAUAUAAUUAUUACAUACUCCUAUCUUCAAGAUCCUUCUUUCCUUUCAAUAGGCUGGUCUGUUUGGUAGUUCUUCAGUUCGUUUACUCAUGUACAUAUAGUGUGUUUUCAGCAAAAUCUCUUAAUGUUUUGGGAAGACAAUGUUGCACCAAUCACCAUGACUUGCAGAAGAUUUGUUUUUGUUGCGUUCUUCGUUGAUCUUUCUUUAUGGCUGGUUUGCUAUUCUGCUGCUCAAUUAUGCAUGUCAUUUGUUUUUGGCAGUAUCUACCUAAGUUCCAACCUGAGAAUCUCGAGCAUACCAAAAACAUGUAUGACCGA